AGAACCUCCUGUGGCACUGAACAUCCCUCAUGCUGCUCUUGUGGAGGUUUUCAUGGCUUAUACUAUAUAACCUGUCAGUAUUGGAGAAUUAAAAAUAAAUAAAAUAAAAGUAGUAAUGCAAAAUUUUGAUCCUGUCUGUUAUAGUAGAAUCCCAUUUUCGAUAUGUUUGUAUUUGUAAUUAAUUUUGUGGAAGACACCUUACAAAUUAAGGACAGAUGAUUCAUUGUAGAGCUGCUGUAUAGGUUUAAUAAGCUUUGGCUCAGUAAAUCUUGUUUUAACAUUGGAUUAGCUGCAGG
rnacentral:misc_RNA from 1 species